rnacentral:rRNA from 1 species
UACGAAGGGGGCUAGCGUUGCUCGGAAUCACUGGGCGUAAAGGGCGCGUAGGCGGGUUUUUAAGUCAGGGGUGAAAUCCUGGAGCUCAACUCCAGAACUGCCUUUGAUACUGAAAAUCUUGAGUCCGGGAGAGGUGAGUGGAACUGCGAGUGUAGAGGUGAAAUUCGUAGAUAUUCGCAAGAACACCAGUGGCGAAGGCGGCUCACUGGCCCGGUACUGACGCUGAGGCACGAAAGCGUGGGGAGCAAACAGG